GGUAGUAUGGCCGAGUGGUUUAAGGCAUUGGAAUUUACAAUUCAAAAUCCGAUUUGCGAAGGUUCGAAUCAUUCUUCUACCA
rnacentral:tRNA from 1 species